rnacentral:rRNA from 1 species
CCUACGGGACGCAGCAGUGAGGAAUAUUGGUCAAUGGGCGGCAGCCUGAACCAGCCAAGUAGCGUGAAGGAUGAAGGUUCUAUGGAUUGUAAACUUCUUUUAUAAAGGAAUAAAGAGAGGCACGUGUGCCUUUUUGGAUGUACUUUAUGAAUAAGGAUCGGCUAACUCAGUGCCAGCAGCCGCGGGAAUACGUAGGAUCCGAGCAUUAUCCGGAUUUAUUGGGUUUAAAGGGAGCGUAGAUGGGUUGUUAAGGCAGUUGUGAAAGUUUGCGGCUCAACCGUAAAAUUGCAAUUGAUACAGGCGUC